GGGCAGCCGCCGGAGGAACGGGUAUCAUUGAUGUUGAUUUUCACGGGCUUAGAGCCCGCUGCUUU
rnacentral:tRNA from 1 species